CUGGCGGCGUGCCUAACACAUGCAAGUCGCACGAGAAAGUGGAGCAAUCCAUGAGUAAAGUGGCGCACGGGUGAGUAACACGUGAAUGAUCUACCUCCGAGUGGGGAAUAACCUAGAGAAAUCUGGGCUAAUACCGCAUAACACUUACGAGUCAAAGCAGCAAUGCGCUUGGAGAGGAGUUCGCGGCCGAUUAGUUAGUUGGCGGGGUAAUGGCCCACCAAGACGAUGAUCGGUAUCCGGCCUGAGAGGGCGCACGGACACACUGGAACUGAAACACGGUCCAGACUCCUACGGGAGGCAGCAGUGGGGAAUUUUGCGCAAUGGGGGAAACCCUGACGCAGCAACGCCGCGUGGAGGAUGAAAUCCCUUGGGAUGUAAACUCCUUUCGAUCGGGACGAUUAUGACGGUACCGGAAGAAGAAGCCCCGGCUAACUUCGUGCCAGCAGCCGCGGUAAUACGAGGGGGGCAAGCGUUGUUCGGAAUUAUUGGGCGUAAAGGGCGCGUAGGCGGUUUGACAAGUCUGAUGUGAAAUCUCUGGGCUCAACUCAGAGUCUGCAUUAGAAACUGUCGGGCUAGAGUAUGGGAGAGGUGCGUGGAAUUUCCGGUGUACCGGUGAAAUGCGU
rnacentral:rRNA from 1 species